GCGGGGGCCGGGAGGAGCUGCGGGGAUCGCCGCGGGAGAACAGGCCUCGGCGG
rnacentral:miRNA from 12 species